AUGAAAACGGUUUAUUGGAGUAUGGAGGUGCUACUGAACCGAAUAGAGGGCGGGUUUAAGUGAAGAUGUCUGAAACACAAAAUUCAGCUGUGGCUUAGAUUUGGGCAGAUUCUUCUGAUGGGCUGCCUCAUUGGGACGCAGGUUGAUGAAGGUCUGUCGCAAGGGCCCCAGAAGCCCGUGUUCAAACCAGUGACAAAAAAGAGAGAGAAAAAGAAACCCACCAGUGUCAAAUGUGGGAUACAUCACUAACAAGACUGAAUUGGGGAGCUAUCCUAUCUCUGUCACUGUUACAUGAAGAAUGCAGCUGUGAUUUCAUUACCGGUGAUCUGAUGCCUAGCCAUGUUGUGCUUGCACAUAAGGUAGCCAUAGCCAUCGUACUUAUUAUAUGGUUCUUAUUGUUCUCAAUAUAAUUCUUGUAUUGCAUGCUUACCUAGAAAGGGGAGAUUAUUAAAUAUACUGGAUGGAUGUGUUCUUUCUUUUGGGACAUUCACAGCUGUGUAUAAUCAAUGGAACGUUCUUUUGGCAUGUACCAGAAGGUUAUUAAAGAC